rnacentral:rRNA from 1 species
CCUGGCUCAGGACGAACGCUGGCGGCGCGCCUAACACAUGCAAGUCGAACGAGAGAUGAGGAGCUUGCUCUUCAAAUCGAGUGGCGAACGGGUGAGUAACGCGUGAGGAACCUGCCUCAAAGAGGGGGACAACAGUUGGAAACGACUGCUAAUACCGCAUAAGCCCACGGCUCGGCAUCGAGCAGAGGGAAAAGGAGCAAUCCGCUUUGAGAUGGCCUCGCGUCCGAUUAGCUGGUUGGUGAGGUAACGGCCCACCAAGGCGACGAUCGGUAGCCGGACUGAGAGGUUGAACGGCCACAUUGGGACUGAGACACGGCCCAGACUCCUACGGGAGGCAGCAGUGGGGAAUAUUGCACAAUGGGGGAAACCCUGAUGCAGCGACGCCGCGUGGAGGAAGAAGGUCUUCGGAUCGUAAACUCCUGUUGUUGAGGAAGAUAAUGACGGUACUCAACAAGGAAGUGACGGCUAACUACGUGCCAGCAGCCGCGGUAAAACGUAGGUCACAAGCGUUGUCCGGAAUUACUGGGUGUAAAGGGAGCGCAGGCGGGAGAACAAGUUGGAAGUGAAAUCCAUGGGCUCAACCCAUGAACUGCUUUCAAAACUGUUUUUCUUGAGUAGUGCAGAGGUAGGCGGAAUUCCCGGUGUAGCGGUGGAAUGCGUAGAUAUCGGGAGGAACACCAGUGGCGAAGGCGGCCUACUGGGCACCAACUGACGCUGAGGCUCGAAAGUGUGGGUAGCAAACAGGAUUAGAUACCCUGGUAGUCCACACCGUAAACGAUGAUUACUAGGUGUUGGAGGAUUGACCCCUUCAGUGCCGCAGUUAACACAAUAAGUAAUCCACCUGGGGAGUACGACCGCAAGGUUGAAACUCAAAGGAAUUGACGGGGGCCCGCACAAGCAGUGGAGUAUGUGGUUUAAUUCGACGCAACGCGAAGAACCUUACCAAGUCUUGACAUCCCUUGACGAACAUAGAAAUAUGUUUUCUCUUCGGAGCAAGGAGACAGGUGGUGCAUGGUUGUCGUCAGCUCGUGUCGUGAGAUGUUGGGUUAAGUCCCGCAACGAGCGCAACCCUUAUGGUCAGUUACUACGCAAGAGGACUCUGGCCAGACUGCCGUUGACAAAACGGAGGAAGGUGGGGAUGACGUCAAAUCAUCAUGCCCUUUAUGACUUGGGCUACACACGUACUACAAUGGCGUUAAACAAAGAGAAGCAAGACCGCGAGGUGGAGCAAAACUCAGAAACAACGUCCCAGUUCGGACUGCAGGCUGCAACUCGCCUGCACGAAGUCGGAAUUGCUAGUAAUCGUGGAUCAGCAUGCCACGGUGAAUACGUUCCCGGGCCUUGCACACACCGCCC